AGGGAAUAUUGCGCAAUGGGGGAAACCCUGACGCAGCGACGCCGCGUGAGUGAUGAAGGCCUUCGGGUCGUAAAGCUCUGUUGCAAGGGAAUAAAAAAAUGAAUGUACCUUGUGAGGAAGGAUCGGCUAACUUCGUGCCAGCAGCCGCGGUAAGACGAGGGAUCCUAGCGUUGUUCGGAAUCAUUGGGCGUAAAGAGGGCGUAGGUGGCUAGGUAAGUCAGGUGUGAAAGCCCAGGGCUCAACCCUGGAAGUGCAUUUGAUACUGCUUAGCUUGAGUGUUGGAGAGGUUAUCGGAAUACCUGGUGUAGUGGUGAAAUACGUAGAUAUCAGGUGGAACACCGGAGGCGAAGGCGGGUAACUGGCCAAACACUGACACUGAGGCCCGAAAGCGUGGGGAUCAAAC
rnacentral:rRNA from 1 species